GUGGGGAAUCUUCCGCAAUGGACGAAAGUCUGACGGAGCAACGCCGCGUGAGUGAUGAAGGUCUUCGGAUUGCAAAGCUCUGUUAAUCGGGACGAAAGAGCCUAGUGUGAAUAAUGCUAGGAAGUGACGGUACCGGAAUAGAAAGCCACGGCUAACUACGUGCCAGCAGCCGCGGUAAUACGUAGGUGGCAAGCGUUGUCCGGAAUUAUUGGGCGUAAAGCGCGCGCAGGCGGAUCUGCCAGUCUGUCUUAAAAGUUCGGGGCUUAACCCCGUGAUGGGAUGGAAACUACAGAUCUAGAGUAUCGGAGAGGAAAGUGGAAUUCCUAGUGUAGCGGUGAAAUGCGUAGAUAUUAGGAAGAACACCAGUGGCGAAGGCGACUUUCUGGACGAAAACUGACGCUGAGGCGCGAAAGCCAGGGGAGCGAACGGGAUUAGAAACCCUAGUAGUCC
rnacentral:rRNA from 1 species